UGGGGAAUAUUGCACAAUGGGCGAAAGCCUGAUGCAGCAACGCCGCGUGAGUGAUGAAGGCCUUCGGGUCGUAAAACUCUGUCCUAAGGGAAGAUAAUGACGGUACCUUAGGAGGAAGCCCCGGCUAACUACGUGCCAGCAGCCGCGGUAAUACGUAGGGGGCAAGCGUUAUCCGGAAUUACUGGGCGUAAAGGGGGCGUGGGCGGUCUUUCAAGCCAGAAGUGAAAGGCUACGGCUCAACGUAGUAAGCUUUUGGAACUGUAAGACUUGAGUGCAGGAGAGGAGAGUGGAAUUCCUAGUGUAGCGGUGAAAUGCGUAGAUAUUAGGAGGAACACCAGUAGCGAAGGCGGCUCUCUGGACUGUAACUGACGCUGAGGCACGAAAGCGUGGGGAGCAAACAGG
rnacentral:rRNA from 2 species